GGACCGGCCAACUCCGUGCCAGCAGCCGCGGUAAUACGGAGGGUCCGAGCGUUAUCCGGAAUCAUUGGGUUUAAAGGGUCCGUAGGCGGGCCUGUAAGUCAGGGGUGAAAGGCCACGGCUCAACCGUGGGACUGCCCUUGAUACUGCAGGUCUUGAGUUAUGGUGAGGUUGCCGGAACAUGUGGUGUAGCGGUGAAAUGCAUAGAUAUCACAUAGAACACCGAUCGCGAAGGCAGGUGACCAACCAUAUACUGACGCUGAUGGACGAAAGCGUGGGUAGCGAACGGGAUUAGAUACCCCGGUAGUCCACGCCGUAAACGAUGGAUACUAGCUGUCGGGUCUUCGGACUCGGCGGCCAAGCGAAAGUGAUAAGUAUCCCACCUGGGGAGUACGUUCGCAAGAAUGAAACUCAAAGGAA
rnacentral:rRNA from 1 species